rnacentral:tRNA from 1 species
UGGGGGAUCGCCAAGCGGUAAGGCACCGGUUUUUGAUACCGGCAGUCCCUGGUUCGAAUCCAGGUACCCCAGCCA